CGUGAGCCAACUUCAUUCAAAGUAGUGUCUGUGAUCGGCCCAUUCGUGUUUCACUUGUAAGUUCCAACUUCACUUCACUCGUUUACGAUCAAUUCGGUGAUUCGGUCUCAUUGAUGACGUUUCGUGCAUGCAAACAAGAGUUUAUCGACAGUUUUGUUUUGUCAAUAUAACGUUUCUAACUGCUGUGUUAUUGCUACUGUGUAGUGUUUAUUUAGUUUGAUCUAUUUUUUUUAAUUUAAUAAAAAUGCCAGUGUGUUUUGUGGUUCAUCAGUGAAGUUAUCGUUUUCUUUAGUGUUUGGAUGUUGAGAUGACGAAAAUAUCGUGAUCUUGAACUACCGAUAAUUUGGAUUGCAAUAUGUCGAAUAUUUGUCAACGAUAUAUCCGGAGACACUGCGAGGAGAAACAUGGCGGUUCCUAUAUGAAAUUGCUGAAUUCGCUGUCAACGGAUCUGGAAGAGAUGCUCAGCGAAAUAUACGACGAUGAGAACAUUGCCAGGUAUGUAAAGCA